AGGAAAUGGAGGAGGGUUGGAUCAGCCCUUGGGAUGCAGAGCAUCACCUGAGUGCUUGUGCAGCCCGUGCACGUCGUGCCUCGCCACCCGCCGCUGGCGCUCCAUCAGAUAGCGAGGAUUUCCUCCCUGGGUUAUCAAUAACACUGAAUAGCUGCUGAAGAGUUCCCCUCACGUUGCCUCAGGAACACGCCAGGCUCGUUCGGUGCCAGGAACAUCACAGGGCUGCUCCCAAGGACCACGUGGCAAAAGAAUGAUCCAAGCAGUGCUGCAAUCCAACCAACCAACCCAGCCGGGCUAACACCUCCCUCCCAUCAAAGAUGCUGCAAUCAGAGCUGUCCCAUUCCUGCGUCUGCUGCUUGCAUGGUGCUGUACCUCUGGCUCUGGGUGGGCAAGGUCUUCCACCAGCGUUUCCUCAGGAGAGAAAGGGAGAUCCUUCUGCACACGAUAAUACAAUCUACUUCUUCUUUCUUCACCUUUCCCUCAUCCAACCAAUUUCUCCUCUCCCUUCUGCCUGGGAAUUGCACACAAGAUUUUUAGCCAGGACAGCCAACUCUAGAGCAUCUGAAACGGCCAUCAGUGAAAUCUCC
rnacentral:lncRNA from 1 species